rnacentral:rRNA from 1 species
GCCAGACUCCUACGGGAGGCAGCAGUGGGGAAUAUUGCACAAUGGGGGAAACCCUGAUGCAGCGACGCCGCGUGAGCGAUGAAGUAUUUCGGUAUGUAAAGCUCUAUCAGCAGGGAAGAAGAUGACGGUACCUGACUAAGAAGCCCCGGCUAACUACGUGCCAGCAGCCGCGGUAAUACGUAGGGGGCAAGCGUUAUCCGGAUUUACUGGGUGUAAAGGGAGCGUAGACGGCAGUGCAAGUCCGGAGUGAAAGCCCGGGGCUCAACCCUGGGACUGCUCUGGAAACUGUAAAGCUGGAGUGCGGGAGGGGCAGGCGGAAUUCCUGGUGUAGCGGUGAAAUGCGUAGAUAUCAGGAGGAACACCGGCGGCGAAGGCGGCCUGCUGGACCGUAACUGACGUUGAGGCUCGAAAGCGUGGGGAGCAAACAGGAUUAGAUACCCGAGUAAUA